GUGCUUGCUGUGUCAGCACAUAUACUUAAAUUGGAAAGAUACAGGAAAGAUUAUCCUAGCCCUGUGCAAAGAUGACCUGCAAAUUUAUGAAGUGUUCCAUAUUUGU
ensembl:snRNA U6 U6 spliceosomal RNA